rnacentral:rRNA from 1 species
UACGUAGGGUGCAAGCGUUGUCCGGAAUUAUUGGGCGUAAAGAGCUCGUAGGCGGCUCGUCGCGUCGACUGUGAAAACCUGGGGCUUAACCCUGGGCUUGCAGUCGAUACGGGCGGGCUAGAGUUCGGUAGGGGAGACUGGAAUUCCUGGUGUAGCGGUGAAAUGCGCAGAUAUCAGGAGGAACACCGGUGGCGAAGGCGGGUCUCUGGGCCGAUACUGACGCUGAGGAGCGAAAGCGUGGGGAGCGAACAGG